GGGAGGGAGAAGUAUAAAAAGGCCACGUGGGAAGGUUUUGUUCCUUUUUCAAUGGCGCCGGGAAGGUGGAGCCUUUCUUUUCACCCACUUCUCUUCAAGCCAUGAAGCAUGAACUGGAGGCUGCCGGCCAUUUUGUAAUCUUACUGUACUGGAUGGUGUCAGUCGUUUUGCGCACGGGCCCAACAUUAGCCCCAGGAUGAAGACUGCAACAUCGUGUGAAUACGGCUGCCUUCAGGGGCAUUCACUGUUGGAAUAAGGUUGGUUAUGGAGUCUUCCGAAUCCAGGCUUUUUGGUGGUGUUCCUAAGUAGAAAGAUGCAAACUGAUCCAUGUCUGAGAGCCUGCAGGUAUAAGGGGCAGCUUGGGAUCAAGGGGAAGGUGGGCAACAAGAGACUGAAUGAAGUCUGCUGCAAGCAUUCUGUGCCAUGUUGGUGUGUGUGGGGUUGGAACUCUGUUGGGAGAGGUCGUGUUAGUGGCACAGUGCCUGUUCUGCAUGCAGGUCCCUGGUGCAACCCCAGGGGUCUCCAAUAAAAUGGCAGACGGGAGGAGCUAAGAUCUGAUCUUAAGGCCUCUUGUCUGCUUUGUGCAUAGAACAGAAUAGAUAAAGAGGUUGGUGCAGGUGUCAGAGUGGACCUUUGGCCUUCUGGGCUGAAGAAGCAAUGGCUGCAUCCAGCUGAUAGCCAUUGACUACCUUGUUCUGUGUGGUGUUGGAGAGACAUUUUUGCAGGUGGAGGCUGCCAUUACCCCUUCCCCGAAUCCUAAAGGUGCAACCUGAUACUAGCUCCACCCGGCACCACUUGACUCAAAUGCAUUCUAUACAGGAUGCAAAUAAAAAGUGUUAAGGGGCCUGAAUGGUACAUUUUCUUCUCCCCCCCCAACCCCCCCCCUUUUUAAGUUCUAGAAAACUUGAGAAAGCAUGUAGGUUAUUUUGGCUGGUCCUAAAGAAUGUAUUACACAAUUUGGGUUUAGAGAUAGAAUUUUAACUGAGGGGAGGUGCUGGGGCCUUGGCAGCCUGUUGGCCAGAUUUAACCCAUGGUAGCAGCAUGGAUAUCUGGGAAAAGACAGUGAGAUGUUAGGCUGCCUGUUUGGAGUAUACAGAUGCCCUGGAGCUAACACUGGCUGCGGUCACACACACCAGUGAUGGGGCUGGCCAUGCAGAAGUCCAAGAGUUUUUCAAGUGGAUUCCCAACAAAUCUAGUUUUGCACUUUCUGAUACCAGUUAAUCUCUUUGG